UGGGGAACCUCCGAUAAGGGCCAGAGCAGCGGGUCAGCUGUUAACAAGCAGCUGCAUGGCUCCCGCUUUUCUUAUAACCCAACUUUUGCAUUUGUGUUUCCCCAUGGAAACUUUUUUUUUUUUUUUAAUUUCGGAAGCACUAUGGCAAAACUGCUGAUUUUUAC